CUUUUUUAGUUAUACUUCUAUUAAAUAAUAAUCUAAAUAUUCUAAAAGCUAUAGAAGGAAUUGCAGUUAAGCAAUCUGGUAUCUAAAUUUUCAUAUUUUUUAUUUUAUUGCAAACUAUAACCCCUGAUGACAACUUUUAAGUACUAUUCUCCAGCCAUAACAACUUUUAAGUACUAUUUCCCUGAUAAGCUAUCUCGUUGCUAUAAGUUUAACGGUUCUUGUACAAGGUUUACAUUCGUGUGCUCCAAGCUGCCAUCACGUCCAUCUCACAGAAGACGACUGUCGCAUGUUUGGGUUAGGUUGCACAGAGUAGUCAUGGCGCUAGUGAGAACCAUCUAUCUGGGUUUUCCGCAAUUGGUUAAGUGUAUGUGACGUUUUGUGGCACCAACAUGAAUGUCAUGAAUUAAUUCAUACAUAAAGUUAUUAAGUCAAAAUGUAGGUAAAAGCUUUGUUGUUAAUAUUUUUUGUGGAGCACUUGCUACCUUUGCGCAGAGCACUAGUAUACCGAGGUGCACAGUUUGGGAAAUGCUGCUUUAUAUAAUUCUAGAAUGUUACAAGGACAUAAAAAUAAAAAUAGUUAUGUUAAAGAAUAAGUAACUGAGUUAGUCAGAUGCCUGCAUUGUAAAGC
rnacentral:lncRNA from 1 species